UACGGAGGAUGCAAGCGUUAUCCGGAUUUAUUGGGUUUAAAGGGUGCGCAGGUUGUUUGAUAAGUCAGUGGUGAAAGUCUGUCGCUUAACGGUAGGAUUGCCAUUGAUACUGUUGGACUUGAAUAUGGAUGAGGUAGGCGGAAUGUGUAGUGUAGCGGUGAAAUGCAUAGAUAUUACACAGAACACCGAUUGCGAAGGCAGCUUACUGGGAUGCAACUGACACUGAGGCACGAAGGCGUGGGGAUCAAACA
rnacentral:rRNA from 1 species